UCCAGUUGCCCUCAGCAUUGGAAGAAUGGUGCACUGGGAUGUGACAGAGGAAGAUUAUAAUGCGCCACACCAAGGUUCAAACUGACCGAGUUUCUAGCUGAUGCUCGUUCACUAGCUACUGACACGCAGUUUUACCUCCGGGAGCUAAUAAAGGUGGGUGUCCAGAGAAUACUAGCCUUUUCUGUGAUUUUCCAAGUCCCUGCUGCUUUCUGCAAGAGGCUGAAGUUCUGCAGAGGACCCUUCGGUGCACCCUGUAUAUGCAGAGAAGAACAAUGCACUCAUAAAUGAUUGGAAAAGUCUCUCAAGCUGGAGAAGGUAAUUGAGGAAACACCAUUGAGCAAGCUACUUUGGAAAGAAUUCUCCUCUAGGUGCAUAGUUGACAUUUUUUCUAACUGAGGCAUGUUGACCCGGACUAAACCACAUCCUCUCCAGAGGUUCUCAUGGCCCCGUGUGUGAGAUUAUUAAAUGUCAUUCUCCAUUGUUUGGAACCAUGUGUAGCAGCAGAAAUCCACAAUCUACAGGCUCUCUAAAUAAACAAGAUGGAAUAGCCUAGAAGUUCAAAACAUGCCCCCCCCCCCAUGAUAAGCUGAUACUUAUCAUUGCUGCUAUGAUGUAACCAGUGGGUGGGGUUGGAGGGAUUCCCUGGAUAAACUGCCAACAUUAUGACCUGACCUGCUAAUGGAGACAGCUACCCCAGCAGCUAGCUCAGCCAGUGGAAGGUGUGCAGCACCCUUUUCUUCUUGAGCAUCUUUCUCAGGGAUUUUUGUUUGAGAUAAUAUAAAUUACGUAUACUACAUAUAUGAAUUUAUACAAUUAUAUAUAAUUUAUAUAUUAAUAUAAAUUAAAGGUCCUCAAAAGCAUUACAUUAUGUUACACCCUUAUUUAUCCAUUUGUUUGUUUGUUUGUUUUUUUCUUCGACAGGGUUUCUCUGUGUAGCUUUUGCGCCUGUCCUGGAUCUCGCUCUGUAGACCAGGCUGGCCUCGAACUCACAGAGAUCAGCCUGCCUCUGCCUCCCAAGUGCUGGGAUUAAAGGCCUGUGCCACCACCGCCCGGCUCCUUUCUUUGGAUUUUUGAGUUUCUCUGUUUAUCCCUGGUUGUGCUGGAACUCAGAAAUCAGCCUACCUCUGCCUUCUGAGUGCUGGGAUCAAGGGUGUGCACCUUCACCGGCCGCAACAUCCUAAUUUCUUAAGGAUAUAGAAUUACAUAAAUUAUAAUGCUGACACUCCUCUUCCAAAGCUUGUGGUCUACCAGGAAGAUGCAGGCCUGACCUACAAGCUGCCAAUCACUGCCAUGUGGUGUCCUUGUUGGUUCAAAUCCUCCUGGGUUAGGUUUCAUGGAGAGUGUUCUGCCCCCCAGCCAGGGCCUCUCAUUGCAUGUGCUCACACAGGUCCUCAAAGGAUGAUGUGUUACAGUUCUUCAAGUUGCCUGAGAUUUGUGGCUACUCUCCUUUACCAUCAACCUCAUUACCAGUUUAGUUUGCAGUAGUAUUCUGAACUCUCUAGUUGACUUGCCUAAACUUGUGAUGGUGGCACACACCUUUAAUCCCAGCAUUCGGGAGGCAGAGGCAGGUGGAUCUCUGUGAGUUUGAGGCCAGCCUGGUCUACAGAGCAAGUUCCAGGACAGCCAGGAUUGUUACACAGAGAAAUGAUGUCUCGAAAAGCAAAAAAAAAAAAAAUCCUUACCAUCCUUAAAGGCGGUGGUGGUGCACACUUUUGAUGUCAUCACUUGGGAGGCAGAGGUAGAAGGAACCCUGAGUUCGAGGCCAGCCUGGUCUACAGAGAGAGUUCCAGGACAGCCAGAGCUACACAGAGAAACCCUGUCUAGGAAAAAAAAAGAAAAAAAGAAUUCCUGAGAAGCCCUAGGGAACAUGUCACCUAUAGAUAAUCAUGCUUGCUAGGAGCUAGGAGAAUGGAACUGAGGAGUCAGCAUGAAUGCACCCCAGGGCACCUCAAUUUCUAACUCCGGGACUUUUUGGAGUUUGGGAUAACACAUUUGUCUCCAGGGUGUUGCACUGGGCUCACACCUUCAAAACACUAGGUGACUGGCUUCUAUGGACAGCACCCAACCCCAUGGAUAAAGAUGCUGCUGUCUCUAAAAUGGUGGAAACCAUGCAUCACUGGGCGUCAUCCACUGCAAUCCAUCAGUUUGUGGCUCAAGAGUGAAGGAAGCUUCCCAUGUAUUUCCCACUUGGAAAAGUGUCCAAGUACUGAAAAGUUUAAAAAGAAAAUUUCUUUCCUUAGUACUGCCCUGCAUGUGAGUAAGCAGGCCUGAAGAGAAUUCACCAACUCAAGAAGGACCACCCGGGAGGCGACAAGGACACUGAAAACUGGUUAGUAUCUAGCAGUUAGGGAAAGUGGGCCAGGGACUGAAAAGCGUGCAUGUUCCUCCAGCACUCAGUGUCUUAUUUAGGGAUCCUAUUGCUGUGUGUGAUGGCUGUUCUUGGUUGUCAACUUGACUGCAUCUGGAACGAACUACGAUCCAGAAACGGAGGGCACACCGGUGAGAGGUUAGUUUUGCUUGGUUUGAAGUGGGUGAAACCGCUUCUAGUCUAGACCCUCUGAGGGGGGAAGACACAACUCUAAUCUGGACCACAUCUUCUUCUGGCAGCCUGUAUAAGGACAUGGAAGAAGAAAGGUUUUGUUCUUUGCCUGCUUGUCCUCACCUUGCUAGCACAUCCAUUCCUUCACUGGCAUUGGAGCCUGCUUCUUUGUGAUUCCAGCAAAUACAGAAACCAGCUGAGACACUCAGCCUUGUGGAGCGAGUAACUACUAGAUUCUUGAACUUUCUGUUCACAACUUGUUGGAUUAGCUGGACUGCAUGCAGCCUGUAAAUCACCCCAAUAAAUCAUAUAUGUAUAUAUAUAUGGUCCUUAGGGCAAACUAUACCACUUUAAAACAGGGGUCCACGAUUUGACUCAUUCACUGAGACCAGUGGGGAACGUAAAGGCAUCAGAUCUAGUAGGUCCCCAGACCUUAGCAAGGCUGACUCCAUGAUGAAAGUACCAUUCAGGUUGGAAAACACAGCAUGGAAGAUGGCACCAUCUGUCAAACUAAAAGACCUAAUCCAGCAAAGCCCUUAGUUCUGGGAAAGUCUCUAACCUUGCUCUUUAGUUUCUGUCUCUACCUGUUGUUGUUAAAUGAAGUUUUUGUGUUUGUGUGUAAAAGCUCACCCCGAGAAAGGCUCGGAGGCUACACUGGGAUCCUGAACCUAGUCACCAGCUGGCUAAUAAAGACAUUUUAGAUGAUGAA